rnacentral:rRNA from 1 species
GGUUAAGCGACUAAGCGUACACGGUGGAUGCCCUGGCAGUCAGAGGCGAUGAAGGGCGUGCUAAUCUGCGAUAAGCGCCGGUAAGGUGAUAUGAACCGUUAUAACCGGCGAUACCCGAAUGGGGAAACCCAGUGUGAUUCGUCACACUAUCAUUAACUGAAUCCAUAGGUUAAUGAGGCGAACCGGGGGAACUGAAACAUCUAAGUACCCCGAGGAAAAGAAAUCAACCGAGAUUCCCCCAGUAGCGGCGAGCGAACGGGGAGGAGCCCAGAGCCUGAAUCAGCAUGUGUGUUAGUGGAAGCGUCUGGAAAGGCGCGCGAUACAGGGUGACAGCCCCGUACACAAAAGCGCAUGUGCUGUGAGCUCGAUGAGUAGGGCGGGACACGUGGUAUCCUGUCUGAAUAUGGGGGGACCAUCCUCCAAGGCUAAAUACUCCUGACUGACCGAUAGUGAACCAGUACCGUGAGGGAAAGGCGAAAAGAACCCCGGCGAGGGGAGUGAAAAAGAACCUGAAACCGUGUACGUACAAGCAGUGGGAGCCCCACCACUAAGCCAGUGGUGAACUCCACAUCCGCAUCCUUUGCUGAGGAUACGGUUAACGGAGCGAAAGCGACGUUCAACCGCAAAACAAGCAGAGGGGGCUUAGUGGUGGGGUGACUGCGUACCUUUUGUAUAAUGGGUCAGCGACUUAUAUUCUGUAGCAAGGUUAACCGUAUAGGGGAGCCGGAGGGAAACCGAGUCUUAACCGGGCGUUAAGUUGCAGGGUAUAGACCCGAAACCCGGUGAUCUAGCCAUGGGCAGGUUGAAGGUUGGGUAACACUAACUGGAGGACCGAACCGACUAAUGUUGAAAAAUUAGCGGAUGACCUGUGGCUGGGGGUGAAAGGCCAAUCAAACCGGGAGAUAGCUGGUUCUCCCCGAAAGCUAUUUAGGUAGCGCCUCGUGAAUUCAUCUCCGGGGGUAGAGCACUGUUUCGGCUAGGGGGCCAUCCCGGCUUACCAACCCGAUGCAAACUGCGAAUACCGGAGAAUGUUAUCACGGGAGACACACGGCGGGUGCUAACGUCCGUCGUGAAGAGGGAAACAACCCAGACCGCCAGCUAAGGUCCCAAAGUCAUGGUUAAGUGGGAAACGAUGUGGGAAGGCCCAGACAGCCAGGAUGUUGGCUUAGAAGCAGCCAUCAUUUAAAGAAAGCGUAAUAGCUCACUGGUCGAGUCGGCCUGCGCGGAAGAUGUAACGGGGCUAAACCAU